GCGCGAGUGGCGGAAUGGCAGACGCGCUGGCUUCAGGUGCCAGUGUCCGUAAGGACGUGGGGGUUCAAGUCCCCCCUCGCGCA
rnacentral:tRNA from 7 species